rnacentral:lncRNA from 1 species
AAUAUACCAAGCGAUAAGCACAGUAAGCUACAAUUCUUAAGAGUAAAUAAGGACAACAUUUACUGUGUGAUAAACUCGUGACGUAGCAAUGUCAAUUUUUUUAGAUAAUUGUUUAUGUCACUCGAACAUGUCAAUAACAUGAUAUAUAGUCAACUUAUCAAGUAAGGUAAGAAAAAGUAAUCUAGAAAACUGAUUCAUUAUUCACAUCUAUGAAUUGAAUUGAAAAAACAUAUUCAAACAGACUUCAUCCCGAUGAAGAUUUGACAAAAAUAUUUCGAGAUUGGUACAUUCAUCUUUUUUUAACUGUUACAUGUAAGACCACAGUUAUAUCGUUUAUCGGGUAAUAAACUCUCAGAGUAACAUAUUUUCUUUUGAUAUUUUAACAUAUUUAACCUCAACAGAUACAACUUUUACAUAUCUAUAUUACACUAAAGGCAAAAUUUCAUAUUUGAAAAUCCCGUGAAAAUGAAAUGAUUGAAAACGCAGUUAUGGAAUAUAAAUGAAUUUCGGGAAAUAUGCUUAGGACAAAAAGUAAAAUCACAAAAAUACUGAACUCAGAUGAACAUCUAAUCGGAAAGUCCAUAAUCACAUGGCAAAAUUAAAUGACAUAACCCAUCAAAAAACGAAUGGACAAGAACUGUCAUAUUCCUGACUUGAUACAGGCAUUUUCAAAUAUACAAAAAUGGUGGAUUAAACCUGGUUUUUGGCGCUAAACCUCUCCCUUUGUUGACAGUCUCAUCAAACUCCGUUAUAGUUACAAUGAUGUGUGAACUAAACAGACAUAAUAAAUAAAAUAGUCGAAGUAUAGGUACAAUAUGCAACGCUAUUAAAGUAAGGAUGUUUACCUUUUUUCAUUAAACAAGGAGGCUCUAAAUUAUCAGAUUAUAUUGAAUAUGGUUAAUAAAUCUUCGACUAUUUGACUCUUUGAGGCGUGUACGACUUUGUAUAUAGAAUACCUAUUAUCUAAUUCUUGUUAACCACGACUAGUGUACAAUUCAUAUUACAUCCAGAGCGUUAUAUUCAUUCUUUUAUUUUCGAAAGGUAAUGUGUUAAAGAGAAAUAAUUGUCAUGCGGUCAUUGUUCUACCUUUUUUCUCCCAGUUUCAUUCAAAUUACCUGAAAGAUUAUCUGUUUGGUCUUUUGAUGUGUUUUGUUUUUUUUUAUUUUUGCCAUGUAGUUGUGGACUUUCCGAUUAGAUUUCCCUCUAAGUUCAGUAUUUUUGUGAUAUUACACACAUUUUACAUAUGUAUAUUUGACGAGUUUUUGUGAUAUUACACGUAUUUUACAUGUGUAUAUUUGGCGAGUUUUUGUAAUAUUACACACAUUUAACAUAUGUAUAUUUGACGAGUUUAAGUAGUGUAUAUUUGACGAGUUCUUGUAAUAUUUCACACAUUUUACAUAUGUAUAUUUGACGAGUUUUUGUAAUAUUUCACACAUUUUACAUAUGUAUAUUUGACGAGUUUUUGUAAUAUUACACACAUUUUACCAACGUACAGUUAUGAUCUGUUUGAACAACAGCUACGCCAUCUGUUGGGUACAUCAUUCGUCCGCGAUGACCAUCUGAUUUCAAACAACCUUUACAUAUCGCCACAGUUACAGAUAUAAUAAUCACUAUGCAGAUCAUGACUCCAA